AUGUAGCAUCCGCUUGAGUAUUAAGAUUCUUCAUCCCUAAAUUUUGUAGUAUUUUUCGGGAUGACUCUGAUUUGUUGAAACUUUGAAGCAGGUGCGGGGAGGGGGGGAGGGGAGCUUUGCAGUGCGGCUCAGAGCUUGCGUCCUGGUAUUCUUCUGUUCUUUCACAGAACUGGAUGUGAACUGUGUGAAUGUUAUACGUAUUUUCCGGGGGCCGAUGAUUUAAUUUGAAAGUUACGUAGCCUCAAUUGGGUUGUGUUUUAUUGAAGAAAUAAGGGGUGGAUAUCAUAAUUAUCUUCUUCCAGCUCACGUAUCAACAAAACUCAUCAGGUAGAGUGCAGAAUCUUAACCACAGGACUCUAGUUUAUUUUCUGGACCAGAGAAGAAUGUCGUAUUGGCUGUUGAAGCUUGGAUUUGGCGAGUCCUUUGGAUAUGCUGCAGAGCCAUCAUUUUUCAGUACAUGAUGCAGUAAUAUAACUUAUUCUUCUUGUAUGUGUAACAUUACACAAACAUGUGUGAUGCAUUGUGAAUUAGCUCACGUAGGAGUGUAUUUUACCGCCUCUGUCUCAUGAAGGAUGAAGGAAAAACGUAUGUAUUUGAAUUAAUUCAUGAUUCAAGUACACUGAUGAAUGUCAAGUAGGAACCACCAUUUCCUGACACUUUCUUUACUAUACUGGCUUUCUCAUUUACCAUCUUCAUCUCUAUUUUUCAUUUCUUUCUUUCUUUCAUCUUCUUCUUCUUGUUCUGGUUACGUAGUGGUAAAACAUUCGAUGUGGUCAAAUCUGAAGGAGCAUACGUUGGUUUGAAAUUUAUAUUGUGAGUCAUAAAACAAUGGACUUUUUGAACCCAAAAUAAAGUCGCUGAGGAAUCAUUACGGGCAAAUAAACCAUGGACUCCACAGAGACUUACAUGUUGAUUCUUGUAUGGAAAUUACACAAACUAUCUAAAUAUUAUAUCUCCACAUGAGGACAACCUCUGCAUAAAUUAGGUUCUUGUGAUGAUUGUGAUGUACUAGUUGCUUGAUUGUUUGCUUCAAGUUCUAGGACUCCAUUGCUUUCACAUUGCACUAGUUUCCCAUUGCAUUCUUCAAGUACUAGCAGUAGUAAAAGUGUUCCUUCACCACUGAAAUACUGAGUAGAUGCAAACUACACCAAUUUAUUGACGUGCAAAUGCAAGUGCAACCAGGUAAAACGAUUGACCCUUUUCAGAAAAUAGCAUAUCAAGGCAUUGCUGUAGACUAUUCCACUUACAUAGAACUCCUGCAAAAGUGCUUGGAGUGGAAAUUAUCUGGCAAAAGUAAACCAGGUUCAUUGUUGCAUCUUGAAGCUUAGGGUGGAGCAGAGUUGGUGUGUGGCUAACCAAACAGUAAGAAUCUCAACUAAACAUUAGAUAUGGCUAGAUGUAUAAAUGCAACGCAUUUGACAAACUGGUGGAAAAUAACUGCUGUUUGUUGGACCAUUACAAUCAGAGGUUCUACUGGGAACAACAUUGUAGAAGAUGUAAUGAAGUCUUUCAACUAAGUUCUUCAUACAAUUGGGCUUCUACACAAGAUAAGUUUGUCAAGUAUUAAGCAGACUGCUUCAGUACAAUAGCUACAAAAUGGGACUAGGGAAGUCAUGCUCUCAUUAGAGAUGAUGGUUUUCAAUCAGGCUUGUGUAUGACCAACUUAUUAAUUGGCAUAUGUGCCAUGUUUGACAGUGUUUGUGAUGUCCACUUAGUUGUUUGCUGAAUGAAACAUAGAGAUUUAUUGAGAUUGAGUGUGAUCACCAGUGGAGCAGUAAAGCAUGGUGUGGGGUACAAAAUUUUGUAUCUUUUCCAUCAGAUGUAAAGUGAAGGUUUUGUUUCAGAUGGAAAAAGUUAUGCAAGCACCCUCAGUGCAGGUAAAGGAAUGGAACUAUGGAUUUUGUGAAGAGGUUCACUAACAAGCUCUGAAUAACUGGAUGUAGGCAGAUUUACAUGCAGGCAGUGCACAGAUGAGUAUGCCAAGAGCAGUAGCAUAGAGGACACCAAGCUUGUUCUUCAUGGUUCAGAUACUACAAUUUAACAAGCUGGAAUGAGAUGAGUGAAGGAUUAAUACAGCAAAUUUAUGGUGAAUGAGAGCAUUUGUUUGUCAGUGCUCAGAAUGACACAAGCAGCCAAGUAUGAGAUCCAUUGAUAUCACUAGAUAUGAAUAUGCUUUUGUACCAUCCCUACUGGAGAGCCAACUUGUCCAGAUAAGUACCUGUGGGUGAGCUCAAAGAUUGCUUAGCAGCAAUUAACUUCAUUACAAAGGCUACUGGGCAACAGACUGAAGCUUGAACUGCAUAUUGCACUUUUUGAGGUGACCAUUGAUGAUCAGGAAAACAUUUAGUAGAAUAUCCGAAAGCCUGGGUAAGCAAGUGGUUGUUUUUUCUCAUAUCUAUUCUUUAUUUUCUUUUUACUUUUUGGGUGCUCAUUUGUGAUAAUCAGCUGCUUUUCCACCCCCACAAUCCAAUGCCUUGCUGGUCAAAACCUGCAUGCAGACUUGCACACGCUAUAGCAGGUGGGCAUAAUUAGUUGGCAUCUGAGUGAGCCAGCUUUUAACUUUUUAUGAUCACCAACUGGAUAAGUCAUGAAUGGAAGGAAUGCUGCAGGAGAGCUUUCUCACCCCCUGCCAAGUGCUAAUCUCUGAGUAGCUACUGAACAUGUCAAGCAAGGGAGCACCUGGAAAAGGAAAAAAUUAAAAAGAGAAAUUAAAAAAUCAUGAAUGUUGUUUCUCCAUUGGUUAUUUGAUUUGACUUGGUAAACAGACACCUGUGAAUAAUCUUGGUUUUGUUGCUAGGUCUGUAGCAUUGGACACAUUACAGUCAAUCACAACUUGGUGCUACAAUUGAAGCUACUGCAACAGAGAAACCAC